CAGGCCUAACACAUGCAAGUCGGACGCGCAUUUCGGUGCGAGUGGCAGACGGGUGAGUAACGCGUGGGAACAUGCCCUCUGGUUCGGAACAACCCCGGGAAACUGGGGCUAAUACCGGAUACGCCCUUUGGGGGAAAGGCUUUGCUGCCGGAGGAGUGGCCCGCGUCCGAUUAGCUUGUUGGUGAGGUUAUGGCUCACCGAGCGUUCGAUCGGUAGCUGGUCUGAGAGGAUGGCCAGCCACAUUGGGACUGAGACACGGCCCAAACUCCUACGGGAGGCAGCAGUGGGGAAUAUUGGACAAUGGGCGCAAGCCUGAUCCAGCCAUGCCGCGUGAGUGAUGACGGCCUUAGGGUUGUAAAGCUCUUUCGCGCACGACGAUAAUGACGGUAGUGCGAGAAGAAGCCCCGGCUAACUUCGUGCCAGCAGCCGCGGUAAU
rnacentral:rRNA from 1 species